GAUGAACGCUAGCGGCAGGCCUAAUACAUGCAAGUCGAACGGUGUAGCAAUACACAGUGGCGCACGGGUGCGUAACACGUAUGCAACCUACCUUACAUUGGGGGAUAGCAUUUCGAAAGGGAGAUUAAUACCGCAUAAACCAGUAACUAGACAUCUAGUAGCUGUUAAAGAUUUAUCGAUGUAAGCAGGGAAUGCGUCCAAUUAGUUAGUUGGCGAGGUAAUGGCUCACCAAGACGAUGAUUGGUAGGGGAACUGAGAGGUCAAUCCCGACACUAGCACUGAGAAACGGGCCAGACUACGACGGGAGGCAGCGGUAGGGAAUAUGGGGCAGUGAGCGCAAGUCUGACCCAGCCAUGCGGCGUGCAGGAAGAAGGCGUUAUACGUUGUACACUGCUUUUAUACAGGAAGAAACGACCCUUGCGAGGGGCAUUGACGGUACUGUAUCAAUAAGCACCGGCUAACUCCGUGCCAGCCGCCGCAGUAU
rnacentral:rRNA from 1 species